rnacentral:tRNA from 1 species
GCGCGAGUGGCGGAAUUGGCAGACGCGCCGGAUUUAGGUUCCGGUUCCUAACAGAGUGUGGGUUCAAGUCCCAUCUCGCGCACCA